UCGUAGUACAGCAAAAUCCAUUCCACUCCAAACCUUUCCAACACGAAAAAUAAUCACGCAAUUCUUCUUCUUCUGCUGCUGCUGCUGCUGCUUAUAAUUUAGCCCCUUCUUCUAUCCCAAAUCGGAGUGGAGGGAGGCAAGCGAAAGAUUCACAUUACCGACGAUCUCGACGACGUCGUUGACGAUGAAGAGGAUGAAGCCUGGAAAGAAUGGGGUCAAAAGAAAUCUUCCGAUGAAUUCGAUCCCCCACCUGAUUUCGACAACAUGGACCUUUCCCAGAUUCUGGAAGAAAUCACGAAGCGCCAGACGGGCCCUGCUUUUGGCUUCGUUAAGCUCCCGCUUAGGGAUUCCUCGAGAUAAGCUUUUUUUUUAACGAUUUCUUUCUAUUUCUUUGAUUGAGUAAUUAAUGUUGAAUUGGGAAAUUUUGGUUUCAGAACUCGGUAGCUGAAUUACCUGUGAAAUGGACCCAACUCCUGAGAACGGGAGCUCUCGGGGUGAAAUUCAUGGGCAUCGAUCUAGGCACAAUUAUGUUCAACGUGGAAGAUGGGCACAAAGUAUUAGAGUUGAAGGAAUUCAUAUUGAGUCAUUAUGAGGCGUACGAGAUAAAGAUUGGGGAUCAAGUUUUCAGAAGACCCCGAGAUCCGCCGAUGGAGAUGGUGGCUGAGAAACUCCGGCAAUCGAAGAGCAAGGAAGAGAUUGAUGAGCAUGUGAAAGAACUGUAAUUGGCUGGAAAUUCAAGGUUCUUCCUUUUGAUCUAUACUCGAGGCUCUUCCUCCCAACAAGAAUCUUUUUAAGAUACAAAUCUAUCUUGAAAAUAUUGAUAUAUGAAGGCGUUAUACUUCAACUUU